ACGCCACCAACGUACUGUCACUACAGGGCUUCAAAAGGGAGAGCGAUCGCCAUACCUCCGAAAAGGCUCGGAUUGCAAUCACAGUUUGUAUGUGAACAACUGUGAAUGAUGCAAUUAUAGUUGCAAAAACCGUAAGCGAUUUGAGAUUUCGCCUCCCAUUGAUGUUGUUACUUAUGUAUUGAACAUGCUUCCUUUGAAAUAAUUUGGUGCAAGUAACUGACUGAUGAAGGUGGGAGAUGACUGAUGAAGUAUGAUGGAGGUUCAGAUCCAGGAAUCAGUUGUUUGUAGCAGGCCUCAGGUUAAGGUACAAUUUCAGCUUGGUUCAGAAACAUAUUCUGUCACCGGAAACAAGGGCAUUCUUUUUGAGCAACUGGUUUUGGUUAAAGAGGAAAGCAUGGCCAUAUUGAAGGACUUCAUCACCAAACACAAUGUUCCUAAUGACGUCCCUGACGAACUUGUUGAAGAGUCUUCUGAAGAUGAUGGUGAAAUUCUUGAGAAGCCAAAGAAGACGAAGCUUACUUGAUUCUGUUUCUAUAUUGUGGAAAGCUCCUUUGAUGUGUUGAACCAUUAUUAGCAUCAUGUUUUUGCUACUAAGUCUUUACAGCUUUGUAUUUCUUAAUAGUUGAGAUUAAGGAGUUGUUAUUGAUUAGAACAAAGAUGGAAACUGAACUCAGUUGGCUAUGUUUGAUUAUUUGAUGUAGAACAAAUGCACGUUAAAGGAACUGCUUUUUCGAUGACAGAUGAAAUAAAGUUUUAUAACAGGAGUUUGACAUGGGCAACCGCCGCAACCCUAAACCCU